UCUUUUUCGUUCCCUACCUAACAGAAAAUAAUUUAGGGACUUUUUAUGCUCCUAAUUAAUGUACCAACCCCCUCCCCUCUCUCCAACCCAUCAUUUUUUAAGCGAUCCGAACCUAUUUUUCUUCUUCUAUUAAGAUUUAUUUCCCUCCUUCUUCAAAACCCUAGCCCCUCUUCUAAAAUUCUCAAUUCUGCUCAAGUGAGUAUUAUUUUUUCUUUAAUUCUAGUAAAUUUCUUAUUGUGUAGAGUUUUAGAGUAAGAUUAAAGUCAUCUUCUUUAUUUAUUUAUUUAUUUCCAUUGUUCAUGAAGUUUCUCAAUUUUCUAGUUUUUCUACGGGUGUAAUAGGAUGUGUUUCUAUGGAACUCUUGAGAAUCCUAGAAGACGUUUUUUUAGGUGCCCAAAGCCUUAUGUAAUUGGCCGUUUGUAUCUUGUGAAUUUUGUGUCUAAUUUUGAACAUACUUAUAUGGAUCAUUUGUUCUAAUGUUAUAAUUUUUUUAUUGCAGAAUAAGGGGUUAUGUGGUUAUUGGGAAUGGGAAGACGAUGAAUUCUCUUCGAAAGUUUUAGUUGUCAUCAAUAAAUUGAAGAGGGGAAAGGAGGCUCUUGUGAGGAAAAUAGAUUUUUUGUAGAAAAAAUCAGAUUAUCUUCAUAUUGAAAUCAAUGUAUUAAAGGAAAAAGUUGCUGCCUUUGAAGCUUCUUCUACUGAUCAUGAUAGAGUAGUUGCAAAGUUGUUGGGUUCUCAUUCUUAUGCAUUUAACAUUCUUAUGUUAAAUGCAUUGUUGUUGUUCGAUUGAUUGUAAUGGCAUUAGGAUGUUUAACGAAAUAUAAAGUAUGUAAUGUAUUUUCUUAUGGUAAAAGAUAUUAGCAAUAUUAUUUGAGCCUAUAAGAAAUGGACUUAAAUACUAGUAUUGUGAUGCAUUUUCAAAGUUAAUGUAUAAUUGCAGUGCAAUAAAGCUUGCUGA
rnacentral:lncRNA from 1 species